GAACCCUUGGCACAGUGGUAGCGCGUGAGAUUCCAGAUGGGAAAUCCUCAAGGUCGUCCGUUCAAUCCGGGCAGGGUUCA